UCUUCUUGCUUUGCUUGCACGCCUGCAACACCAAUUCCUUUAGCUUCCACUUUCGCCUUUCGACCCGUAUGACGUUCUGCUACUCCAAGAGGAUGGUGAAGAACUGAAGAUUCAUGCCCCUUAAGAGCAGACAGGAAGAAGGUUCUGCCUCACCAAGAAGCGAGGUUGUGGUGUUGCUGGAUGCAAUGGUGCCGUGGAGAAUGGAGGCGCGGCUGGCGGCCACGGUGCGGGCGGCGCUCCUCGGCUGGCUCUUCUUCUGCCUCACCGUCGCCAACGACGUCGCACGCCAACUCAGAAGCAGUGAUCUCUCCGUCUAAGGCCAGCCGCGUUCGACAUCGCCGGUGGCAAAGAACAGCGUCUACGAAGUGCCACUCCAUCUGGUGCACGGGAGGAAGAUUUAUUUACAGCAGGGUAACCAAAUGGGAUUUUGCAGUGUGUUCAACCCGCGGUUAGGCCCCGUUUGAUAGCAAAGUAUUUUCUAAAUAUUUUGGAAAUACUACAGUUUUUGAGAUUAUCAUAGUUUUAUUUACAAUAAGUUGUUUGGUUGCGCCUAAAAA